ACAGUACUGCUACCCUUACUUUUGUGUUGCUGGUGGUGCAAGGUUGAUGUCCAUGAUCAGUGCAGAGCUAGCAUAGGCAACAAGGGUGGAUUAUGUAGCUGUGUUGGUUUACUUGGUUUACCCAAUGGUAUCCCACAAUGCUCCUAACCAACCUUUGCUGGCCACUUUUACAGCUGAGAGCACCUUCCCUGUCAUGUCAAAUUAGCUGCAUGGUCUUGUCUAAUCCCUGCCCCAAAGAUCUCUAUAAUCUGUCUCGGUUUUGUGUUUUGUAUUGUGCCUAGAAAUAGAGUUUGGGGCCGUAGCAAGGCCACCCAGGUGCUAUAGUAAUACAAAUACUGCUUAUAAAAAGAUUCCUGGAGUGUCAUGCUUGAGCCUAAAAUGUCUUAGUGUGAAGCAGUGGAAACAGCUACACCUAUGUGUGAGAGCUCUCUUUGUUCAGACUAUCAUCUGGUUGAAUAAUCCACUGGGUUUUAUGGUAAAUUACUGUCCAAUUUAAGUUCUCAGCCAUUUUUGACUUUAAUUACAUCCAUGUGGGGUACAGCUACGGUAAGACACGUGUCUGUGUCUGGUCUAGGACUCUUGGCUUGGCAUAUUGUACCUUCAGAGAGAACUCAACCAAUUACUAUCCUUGGUCUACAGCUAAUCUGUAUGGAACAACUUCAUUGGUUGUAUUAGGGAGACUGCACAAAUGGUGUAUUAUGUGCCCAGUGCCAUAACAAGGGCGCGCAAAGCCGAGGGGCGCAGAAAGUGGUGGAGAGGGGUGGAGGGAAAGCUGCUGGCACAGAGGUAUUUAUAACUGAGGUGAUCUCCUCUCUUCCC